UAAAUCAGUUAUGGUUCACUAGAUCGUAAAUUUUACACGGAUAACUGUGGUAAUUCUAGAGCUAAUACGUGCAACCAGCUCGCUUCCUUGUGGAGCGAGCGCAGUUAUUAGAACAAGACCAAUCCGGCCUUCGGGUCGGUACAAUUGGUGACUCUGAAUAACCGAAGCGGAGCGCAUGGUCUCGUACCGGCGCCAGAUCUUUCAAGUGUCUGACUUAUCAGCUUGUUGUUAGGUUAUGUUCCUAACAAGGCUUCAACGGGUAACGGGGUAUCAGGGUCCGAUACCGGAGAGGGAGCCUGAGAAACGGCUACCACAUCCAAGGAAGGCAGCAGGCGCGCAAAUUACCCACUCCUAGCACAGGGAGGUAGUGACGAAAAAUAACGAUGCGAGGGCUUAUAGCUUCUCGUAAUCGGAAUGGGUACACUUUAAAUCCUUUAACGAGGAUCUAUUGGAGGGCAAGUCUGGUGCCAGCAGCCGCGGUAAUUCCAGCUCCAAUAGCGUAUAUUAAAGUUGCUGCGGUUAAAAAGCUCGUAGUUGGAUCUGGGCUUCUGAAUGGAUGGUGCGCUUUACGGUGCUACUGUCCGUUUGGUGCCACAAGCCGGCCAUGUAGUGCAUGCUCUUCAUUGAGUGUGCAUUGCGACCGGAACGUUUACUUUGAAAAAAUUAGAGUGCUCAAAGCAGGCGUACGGCCUUGCAUAAUGGUGCAUGGAAUAAUGGAAUAGGACCUCGGUUCUAUUUUGUUGGUUUUCGGAACUCGAGGUAAUGAUUAAUAGGAACAGACGGGGGCAUU
rnacentral:rRNA from 1 species